UAUCUGACAGUUCAACUUGUGAGAUAUACAUCGCUAUCAUCAUAUCUAAGAAAUGUUAAAUUAUGCAUGUGAAGCUGUCAAGGACCUUCUAGAUAUAAUAGUUGUUUUUAUAACUUGCAGGCAAUUCCACAUGUUGUAGCUAUGGUUAGAGCUGCUGACAAGAAAAAGCCCAAGAGAGGCUGUUGAGUUUGUCCUACAACUGUUGAAGUGACAACAAUGGGAACUCUUAUUCUGAUGUGUUCUGGUUUUCUUCAUUAAUUCAGUCUGUCGGAGAACUUGAAUUUGGGCAACAGUUUCUAGGUAUAUAUUGAGUCAUUGAUUACCAGAUUUUCACCAUGGGGGGAGCUCGUUCUAGGAAGAGAAACCAUUGAGAUGAUGAAGAUAGUUUUCGUAGAGGGAUUACCAGAAGGAUACAUUGAAUGAGUAGGAAAAAGGGAGGCGGUUUCUCGGGUACAUUGAUCUAUAAAUCUGGAAGAAGAAGAGGUGGAGAAGAAGACCCAGCAGCAACAAUAACCACAACAACAAGGAGGUUACUAGGAACAGCAACAGAAGAAGAUCAUCGUCCAAAUCCUCUGCUCCUCUGCUCGAGUUGGUCUGUUUGUCGAGGGAGGAAUCCAAGUUCUAAUAAUAACCAAUCUUGGUCGAAAUCUACAAGGGAUUCUAAAAGUGGGUCUUGAAGAAAAUCGAUGUCAAUGCUAUAGGAUAUCGUUACUGUUUUGUUGAACUUCAGAAGUUGGAGAAACUUCAGGAAGAGGAUCUUGUUGAAAGGCCAUUCAAGAAGAAACAUAUCAGGAUCAGGUUUCCUGAAUGGGGAAGAAGUGGGAGAUUUGCUCCAUUUGGAGGUAAGGUGUUGUUUAGCAGAGCAAAUCUCACAAUUGAAAGAGGAGAGAAACUAGCCAUUAUUGGCCCAAAUGGAUGUGGCAAGAGUACUUUGCUGAAACUAAUAAUGGGUUUACAAAAGCCAAUAGCAGGUGAAGUUCUGCUUGGGGAGCAUAAUGUCCUAACAAACUUUUUUGAGCAAAAUUAGGUGU